AUUGAACGCUGGCGGCAGGCCUAACACAUGCAAGUCGAGCGAGCGGCGGACGGGUGAGCAAUGUCUGGGAAACUGCGUGAUGGAGGGGGAUAACUACAGGAAACGGUAGCUAAUACCGCAUAACAUCAGAUGUGACCAGAUGGGUUUAGCGCGUAGGUGGGGUAACGGCUCACCUAGGCGACGAUCCCUAGCUGGUCUGAGAGGGUGACCAGCCACACGGGAACUGAGACACGGUCAAGACUCCUACGGGAGGCAGCAGUGGGGAAUAUUGCACAAUGGGCGCAAGCCUGACGCAGCCAUGCCGCGUGUGUGAAGAAGGCCUUGGUGUUGUAAAGCACUUUCAGCGGGGAGGCGUUACCCGCAGAAGAAGCACCGGCUAACUCCGUGCCAGCAGCCGCGGUAAUUC
rnacentral:rRNA from 1 species